CUCUUUCGUUGUCUGUGCUGUAACGACACGGGGAGACCUGAGACAGCCGGGCCUGCUCCCGUCCGGGACCCUCGUGCCGGACAUCUCGGGAGGGCCGGGAAACGCUGCCCUGCCUCAGACACCGCGUUUCAGAGCGGGCCGAGGUUCGGUAGGUCCGAUCUGAAGUCCGUGUAAGCCGGCCUGGGCUGCAGCUGCUGGAGAGACGCCUGCGAACACGGCCAGCAGGACACACCAUGGGGAUAUCCAAGCUCCAGGCCUUUCUGGAUCUCUGGUGCUGAUGUUGGGCUGCUGUGGGACACAUACUGAAGCUCUCCCCUCAAGGCAGACACUGAAGCAUCCCAUGCUCGAAGUUUUCAACAGCACAGACAGCCUGGUCUGAGGUAACACCCACCCCCUUAAACUUUGCUGUCUGUGAGAAAGGAGAUAGACUACACUGAAAAACAGAGGGCAUACAUGCAGUAAGAUGAACAAUGUACACGUGCACAAUGUACAUAUGUGCAUGUACUGAAAAGAGUUGUAGGGACAACAUGUGAAGAAGUUUUUGUUAAUGAAAUGCUCACCUGACUGGCUGCAUUUCCAGCUUUUCCUCUCUUAGUCCUCAUUAAAUGCCAGGACUGGUUAAAAUUCACCUCUUUCUGUUUAGAUAUUUGGCCCCAUGUUGACUGUUUUUCUGUGUGUAACAACUUUUACUAGGAAAAAAAGGAGAGCCUUAAGAAUGUGAUACUAUUUUAUGGAGGACAAAUCUUCUGCUUCUACCCUGACAUUAAACUCUUAAAGGUGAACAAAGAGGGAGACGUGUCUAGAAAUGCACAAAGGAGCUGAGCUAAUUAAGAGAGCUCCCACUGCCUCCCUUCAUGAAAGCUGCUAUGCUUUUGAAACCCUGGAGAUGGUUUCACUGUGGAUUUGUGAGGUUAGGAAUACAGCUGGGAUGCUGAGACUGUGGGCUGGGUGGUAUGUAUAGAAUGUGUUUGAUCAGUUUCCCUGGUUGUAUUAGAAAGAGAUGGCAUAAAACAAAUGGGGUGGAAAUAGGCAGAAAGGAUGAGGAUCUCCCUCUGGGAUAGGUCUGAACUGAUUUAGAUUGUGGGAAUUUUGUAUAUGUGUGUGUGUUGAAUGUAUUUUUCCUGGAGAUUUCAGUGGCAUUUUUGUUCUCCUAAUCUUUAUCAAUGUUACAGAAAACAUAUUUAAGCCUUCAGAAACAUGAAGUUUCAAACCUUGCAGUUCAUUCCUGCAGAUGUUUGCAUGGUGUGCUUUAGCCCUGCCUUCUGUAUACUGACAUACAAGUAGCUUGUCAGUCUCAUCUUACACCCUGGCUAUGAUUCCUUAUUUGGUUCCUGUCACUUCCUGGUAUUCAGCACUGUAAAAAUACUUUUCUUGUCUGAGGCAUCACCAUCGAGGGUGUACUUGAACAAUGCUAUCUCUGGAAUAAAUAUGUGUGAUUGUGGCAUUUUGAUGGACAGAACUUGGGUGAUGCAGGACACGCCGCCUCUGUUUACAAGCCACUGAGGAUCGAGAGCAAAUCUUCAGUGCACCACAUUAAAUCCACCAGCGUUAAGGGUACCCAGGAGAUCACAACACACUGGUGAGGAAAUUCAUAUGGCAGUCGGUCCUUUUGGUCAUAUUCACAGGCAGCAGCUCCUUCACUCUUGCUCUUUGAUAAGAAGAAUAUAAACAAGACCUUUGCACUGUCUUUAAAUGCAUCAAAAACCCUUGUGUCUCCUCUUCCCUGGUGAGCCUAACUCUGAUCAUCUGAUUCCUGUAUCAGCAGAAGGAUUUCCUCACUUGACAGGACCAUGGAUAAACUUGGCAGACAGUAAAGAGUAUUAAUAAUAACAGAUGUUGUAAUGUUUUGCUGUGUUUACAAUAACCCUGUAUGCUCCAUGUAUCAUUUGAAAUGAUAUUGAAGUGAUUGAUUUUUAUUUAAUUACUACAAGACAAA